UCUGAUGCCCUCUUCUGGCCUCUAUGGACACUGCACUCAUGUGCACAAUUCCUCCCCACCCCAAUACACAUAACUAAAAAUAAACAAUAAAAGGAGGCGGGGGGGACAAGCCCUUUGUUCAUCUAGCAUAGAUGUUUAUGAGAAAGAGGGAGGAAAGGAAUGGAGCAUGUUUCAAAAAUUUGGCAAUACAGUUCCCUUUGUGAAACUAGCAGGUUCCCUCCCACUAAGCACAUGGGCAGACAUACAUGCAAUUUCAUAUUCAUUUUUAAGGGGCAUAGACAUCAUGCAUUGCUAGAUUGAGAACAUCUAUUCUUCUGGCCCUUUAAGUGACCACAACUGUACCACUGGGUAGUAAAAGAGUCAGAGGAACAGGUUUCUAUUGCAUGCUCACAAAUACCCUCUGACAGCUCAGCGAUGGAUCGUCUCCAUCUUGAGGUAGUGAGCUUCCCAUCAUAGGAGGCGAUCAUUAGCAUGACCAGUUUGCACAGAUGUCCAUUAAUUCGUUUCCCAUUCAUUCCUUCAUACACACCCCCAUUCACACAUGGUGAGAACCCUUGCGUUUACACAAAAGAGAGUGGGAUACAAAGAUAGACACAAGAGAAACUCUGUUCUCAAUGUCAGCACCAAGUAAAGGGAAACCAAGACCCAGGUGGUCAUGGGACAUGGUGACCGUGAGAACUCAUGUGUAAAGGGCUCAGAAAGCCAAAGAAAGAAAUGGAUCUGCCGAUGGGUCCUGCACGGCACCAGGGAGCAACUGGAUGACCUCGCGGCUCCUUCCAACUCUGACGUCCAGCGCAGCAACAGGGCCAAAGGUUAACUGGGGUAGGAGAGGGCUUCAGCCAUGGAAAACGGCGACAACACACGUUCUGUACAUCUUCAGGACAAGUCUCCUAACCCCCACCAUCGCCUCCUGCCUUUCUGUUAGCACCCUCUCAGCCUGUCCUGCCGGAAAAUUCUGGAACGGCCACGGCCACAUCCCGAUCCCAUCCCAGUGAUUAGUACUGGGAUGCAGCAUGUUCCGUUUGCUGUUGAGGUGGACGCCAGGGACUACCUGCGAGAGAGAAUGGGCUGGCGGGGAUGCAGAAGUGGACAGAGCACAGAUGGGCUAUGCCCGAACCCGGGGCCGGCUCCCCGCAAUUGUUCCAACAACUCUGAGAGUCGCCUUGGAAAAAGGCAAUUUGACUGCAGUGAGGCAGAACACGGAGCUGAACACCAGCCGCCCUUUAUCGACCAGAGCCCAGCACAAGAACAAAAUGAAGAAGAGUGUGGCGUGGCCCUGAGCUCCUGAAGAGGCUCGGACUGGCUCUCCCCAGGAACCCAUGCACUGCGCAGAAAGCCUUGCAGAGGAGCCUGGGCCUGGGGUCCAAGGUCUCCUCCUCCUUCUGUCCCUCUCCCCCGCCCUUUUGUCUUCCGUGGCUUGUUUUCUGGCUGGUAACUAGAGGUCCCGGAGAACCCCUGUAGCUCUGGGGGCGGGAGCUCUCUCCACUGUGCAAGCAGUGGGCUGCUGAUUAGCGCGGGGAAUAAAUAACAGCAAGCUAAUUAUCUCCCUGAUUGCGGCUUGCCUCACUAACAAGGCUGGGCUGGCGUGGUGAUGCGGCACUUGAUACUAUUCCAAGCAUUGCUUCUGGGCUCGGGGAAAUUUCCAUGCCUUUCCAGUCUGCUGGUGCUCUCCCUUCCCAGAUGCCCGGGAGCUCCAAGUGGAAACGUUCACUCUUCUGCUUCACCUUGGAAUUGAGAGACUUACCCCAGGCAGACUGUUUAUGUCAUUCCCUAGUGGGUGCUGGAGCCGGCUUCUCAAAGAAGCAGGCAAAGGCUUUCAGAGGGAGGCUAGAGGUUGGCCAAGGGCAUGGAAGGAUGGGUCCUUGGGGACCACAUACUCUAGUACUUAGUAUCCUAAUUACAUCUGCUACUCUGACUCCUGAAAAUGAGUGGUUUCCAUUGGGCUAGCAGAUAGGAGAAGAGUGCAAGGAAGAGUGCUGGCCUGGACCCUGGUCAGACCAUCGCUACCUCUGUGACCUUAGACAUGCUCCAUAAUCAGGUCCUUUUUAAUCACAUCCCUCAUGAUCUGGCCCCUCUUUCCUCUUUAAGAAAUGAGGUAUGAUGACUUUGGAACUUUGUUUCAGUCUAGAAACACAGUUUUGAGACUGUGGGGUGAAGUCUGAUUGCAGUGUUGUUUUGGAAUUCCAUGCUGGAAAAGCUGCUUAUGGCCAUUUCUAGAAGGAAUUCUCGCUUCUGCAAUACCACCAUCACUUUUUUUUUUAAGGUUUGCUUUUAUUAUUUUGUAACUAUAUGUGUGUGUGUCAGGAGUAUGUGCACGUGAGCGCAGGUCCCCGAAGAGUCCAGAGGAAAGUGUUGGAUACUCUGCAGCUGAAGUUCUGGGUAGUUGUGGACCUCCAGAUGUGGAUGCUGAGAAUGGAGCUGGGCUCCCCUGUGGAAGCAGGACAUGCUCUCAACUGCUGGCCCAUCCAUCCCUUCAGCCCCAGAAGAGUCCCAGCAGCCUACUGUGCCAACUUUGCAGAGCCUGCAGUGGUUACCAGCCUGCAAAAAGACAGAUGUGGAGGCACCUUCUACCCAAGCAGAACUACUCUUGGCCUGCUGUGGACGGAGGAAGAAAUCCGUUUGCCUGCCAGGCAUUUUGGACCAUCCCUGGCUGUAGGGCCUCUUUAUUAGCACCUUUACACCAAUUGCACGACCCACUUGUAGGAAGCUGAAGACCUGUCUGUCCCUUUUCCCCCAACAAAGAGACUGUCUCUAUGGAAGGGGUCGGGGAGAUGGUGGGGGUCGGUGGAUGGGGGCUCUUAAGCCUUCCUCUACUGGAGGGCAGGUGCUACACAAGCCAGAUGUUUCUGUCUGCUGAAGACAAACAUAGGGAAAGCAAAGCUGGGGAAAGGAUGAAGCACGUCCUGGGUCACAAGCCUCUUUCGAAGCGGGGAGGAGAGAGGGAGAGGGCUGCUGGUCUCCUGGACUGAUGUUCUGUGUGCUGUUUGGGGAUAGUGAACGCUAGGCUUGAGCUGCCCCAGGGACCAAGUCUGUACUACCUACCUUGCCCUGACAGGACUGUUAGACUUUAGCACUUCUAAUGCUGUAACUGUAUAAUCCAUUUCUGCACGGGGUAGGCGCAGCGUAGUUUCGAGUGGAUUUGCAGUGACUGGCCUACCUGAGGACACUGGGGAAGCAAGCAGCACUCCCUUGAAGGUUCUGCUCGAUGUACCCGCUUCAGAAGUCUCUGCUGGGCCUCCUGCAUCCAGUUGGCAGUUGCAGGGGAAAAAAAUAAAAUAAAACAAAACAGGGGGUGUGCCAGUUUUACGAAA